rnacentral:lncRNA from 1 species
UGUCCUCGAUGUGGUUCAGGGGAAAAAACAGUCUCCACGUGUUUUUGCAGUGUCCUAAAAGCAAUGAAGUUUGGCAAAACAUUAGUAUGAAUUGGGUUACACCAUACAGAGAUCAGAAUACUAGAACAUGGCUUACUUGGGUCUUCGAAAAGGGAACCAAUUAGCAGUGUAAGGUGUUUUGUUGCGCCUUAUGGAACUCACGAAAUCAAUUGGUGCAUGAGAGGAAGAUUGUAUCAGGAAGGGAUCUUGUUCACAUAAUAAAGGCUUAUUUAGCUGAGAUUGAAACAGUGGGAAUGGAAAAACGUACCUUGAAGACUGUUGAAGUUCAGAGACAUUGGGAAGCGAGAACACAGGACACAAUACACUUUGAUGCAGCUUUUGAUACUAACAGGUAUAGAUCGGCGUCGGGAGUUAUUGUACGAGACUGGCGGGGAAAGUUAAGAGCCUUGAAAACAACCCUCCACUCCAAUAUUUCAUCUCCGUUUCUUGCAGAAGCAUAUGCAUGCCUACAAGCAGUAAAGUUAGGCUUAGCAAUGGGUCUCCGAUCAGUUCCAAUUAUGGGAGAUUCGAAGACGGUCAUAAAGAAAUGUCAAGCAAAAGGUAUGGACAAGUCGAUUGUUGGAGCAGUCAUCAGAGAUAUUCAGAAGCAUAGUUCUCGAUUUCAAGAAAUAAUUUUUCAGUUUAUUCAAAAACUAGAAAACUAUCAAGCCCAUAAACUAGCAAAAGAAACAUUAGAAAAGGGGGAAGAAAGGAACCUGAUCGGAACCGAGAGGAUCUGCAAUGAAGAACCUCUGCAAGAGGAAUGGGCAAGGAACCCGGAUUGAAGGGUUUUCAAAAGAAAAGAGAUUUGAAAAUGAUAACAGAUGGAAGAAAAUCUUUUGGGAAACUGUUAUCCU